rnacentral:rRNA from 1 species
CUCUGUGGAUCAGUGGCGAACGGGUGAGUAACACGUGAGCAACCUGCCCCGGACUCUGGGAUAAGCGCUGGAAACGGCGUCUAAUACCGGAUACGAGAUUCCACCGCAUGGUGAGUUUCUGGAAAGAUUUUUUGGUCUGGGAUGGGCUCACGGCCUAUCAGCUUGUUGGUGAGGUAAUGGCUCACCAAGGCGUCGACGGGUAGCCGGCCUGAGAGGGUGACCGGCCACACUGGGACUGAGACACGGCCCAGACUCCUACGGGAGGCAGCAGUGGGGAAUAUUGCACAAUGGGCGGAAGCCUGAUGCAGCAACGCCGCGUGAGGGAUGACGGCCUUCGGGUUGUAAACCUCUUUUAGCAGGGAAGAAGCGAAAGUGACGGUACCUGCAGAAAAAGCGCCGGCUAACUACGUGCCAGCAGCCGCGGUAAUACGUAGGGCGCAAGCGUUAUCCGGAAUUAUUGGGCGUAAAGAGCUCGUAGGCGGUUUGUCGCGUCUGCUGUGAAAUCCCGAGGCUCAACCUCGGGUCUGCAGUGGGUACGGGCAGACUAGAGUGCGGUAGGGGAGAUUGGAAUUCCUGGUGUAGCGGUGGAAUGCGCAGAUAUCAGGAGGAACACCGAUGGCGAAGGCAGAUCUCUGGGCCGUUACUGACGCUGAGGAGCGAAAGGGUGGGGAGCAA